rnacentral:tRNA from 1 species
GCUCCAGUGGCGCAAUCGGUUAGCGCGACGUACUUAUAUAACAGUAUCGUAAAAAUGCGGAGGUUGUGAGUUCGAGCCUCACCUGGAGCA